UGGCGGACGGGUGAGUAAUGUCUGGGAAACUGCCCGAUGGAGGGGGAUAACUACUGGAAACGGUAGCUAAUACCGCAUAACGUCGCAAGACCAAAGAGGGGGACCUUCGGGCCUCUUGCCAUCGGAUGUGCCCAGAUGGGAUUAGCUAGUAGGUGGGGUAACGGCUCACCUAGGCGACGAUCCCUAGCUGGUCUGAGAGGAUGACCAGCCACACUGGGACUGAGACACGGUCCAG
rnacentral:rRNA from 1 species